GAAACAAUGAAGUGGAAAAGAAAACAACUAAAGCAAAAUCCAGAGCCCAGUUUCUGCUAACCCAGCUCCACACAGCCUGGGCAGGCCGUGGAAGCCCGUCAGGCGUGCAAAGGGCUGAGACUGUGUGUGUCCGGUUUACCAGCAGAGAAUGUGAGAUGUAGAAAAAGGAUCCCUUUGACAUUUCCAACAAGUCAGUGACGAAAUGGAAAGAUCCUGGGAACAGUCUGCAGAGCACCGCUCUCUCGUCUGCGUUUCCAGUAGAGAGAUAAACAGAAUGGACUCGGAGGUGGACAUUGUUCUCCAACAGGCCUGACUGCAGCCCAGCUGGGGCGAGCAUUUCCUUUCCAGCAUUCCAAGAGGCGACAGUCCCGAAGGAUAAUUAAAAAUCAGCUCACAGUGGCAACCGAGAAAAAGGCACUAAGCUCCCGA
rnacentral:lncRNA from 1 species